rnacentral:rRNA from 1 species
GAGAGUGGGUUAGUCCGUACGAGCGCACCCUAUCCUUAGUUGCCAGCGAGUCAUGUCGGGAACUCUAGGGAGACUGCCGGUGACAAACCGGAGGAAGGUGGGGACGACGUCAAGUCAUCAUGGCCCUUAUGGGCAGGGCUACACACGUGCUACAAUGGCCGGUACAGAGGGCAGCGAUGUCGCAAGGCGGAGCAAAUCUCAGAAAACCGGUCGUAGUCCGGAUUGCAGUCUGCAACUCGACUGCAUGAAGUUGGAAUCGCUAGUAAUCGCGGAUCAGAACGCCGCGGUGAAUACGUUCCCGGGCCUUGUACACACCGCCCGUCACACCAUGGGAGUGGGCUGUACCAGAAGUAGGUAGUCUAACCUUCGGGAGGACGCUUACCACGGUGUGGUUCAUGACUGGGGUGAAGUCGUAACAAGGUAGCCCUAGGGGAACCUGGGGCUGGAUCACCUCCUU